rnacentral:rRNA from 1 species
UUGAACUGAAGAGUUUGAUCCUGGCUCAGAUUGAACGCUGGCGGCAUGCCUUACACAUGCAAGUCGAACGGCAGCACGGGCUUCGGCCUGGUGGCGAGUGGCGAACGGGUGAGUAAUACAUCGGAACAUGUCCUGUAGUGGGGGAUAGCCCGGCGAAAGCCGGAUUAAUACCGCAUACGAUCCACGGAUGAAAGCGGGGGACCUUCGGGCCUCGCGCUAUAGGGUUGGCCGAUGGCUGAUUAGCUAGUUGG